CGGCGGACGGGUGAGUAACACGUAGGUAACCUACCUAUAAGACUGGGACAACUUCGGGAAACCGGAGCUAAUACCGGAUAAGAUAUCGAACCGCAUGGUUCGAUAGUGAAAGAUGGUUUUGCUAUCACUUAUAGAUGGACCCGCGCCGUAUUAGCUAGUUGGUGAGGUAACGGCUCACCAAGGCAACGAUACGUAGCCGACCUGAGAGGGUGAUCGGCCACACUGGAACUGAGACACGGUCCAGACUCCUACUGGAGGCAGCAGAU
rnacentral:rRNA from 1 species